AGAGUUUGAUCCUGGCUCAGAACGAACGCUGGCGGCAUGCCUAACACAUGCAAGUCGGACGCUUUUGGGGGUUUCGGCCUCCAAAGGAGUGGCGGACGGGUGAGUAGCGCGUGGGAACCUGCCCUCUUGUGGGGGAUAACCGAGGGAAACUUCGGCUAAUACCGCAUGCGCCCCGGAGCGAUCCGGGGGAAAGAUUUAUCGCAGGAGGAGGGGCCCGCGUCGGAUUAGGUAGUUGGUGGGGUAACGGCCUACCAAGCCUGUGAUCCGUAGCUGGUCUGAGAGGAUGAUCAGCCACACUGGGACUGAGACACGGCCCAGACUCCUACGGGAGGCAGCAGUGGGGAAUAUUGGACAAUGGGCGCAAGCCUGAUCCAGCAAUGCCGCGUGAGUGAUGAAGGCCUUAGGGUUGUAAAGCUCUUUCGGCGGGGACGAUGAUGACGGUACCCGCAGAAGAAGCCCCGGCUAACUUCGUGCCAGCAGCCGCGGUAAUACGAAGGGGGCGAGCGUUGUUCGGAUUUACUGGGCGUAAAGGGCGCGUAGGCGGCGGGUCAAGUCGAGUGUGAAAGCCCC
rnacentral:rRNA from 1 species